UGUUGGUUUACGUGUGCGUACUUGGGUUCGCGUGUUAAAGGCCUUACAACUUUUGUUUACAAAAGCUUUUGUGCCGUUAUCAAAUGUUACGCCUGAUUUUAUAAUCCUCCCUUUGAUUGCCUUGAAUUCUGUUACAACUACUACCUUACAUGAGUAUCAUCCCACUGUACAUGGAGUAUAACGGUUAUGGUUGAAGUGCAUGUCACAUACACUAUUACACAAUUUUGUGUACAAAUGUUUCAGUGUGUUAGUAACACAUCAAAGAAAUUUGGCAUCACGGCUGACGACACGGUCUUAUUUUUUCGACGCGUGAAGUGAAAAGUCGCGUUUCCAUCGUCGUCGGCGUUCAGAAAAAAAAUUCAAAGAUGAACCAAAAACCUCAUCCGAAGCGAGGAACACAACUCAGAGCCAAGCAACCGCAGCGAGAAAACCCACCUUCGAAACGCCCAAAACGGAGGCAGAAUUUGGAGGUUAAUACUGCCACCGAGCUGAAUCGACAGGACAUAAAGGAUAAGAUAAAGUUGCUGAAAGAACCGCUAUUCGGGUAGGCCCUGAGAAUGCCGCUACAAAUCGAACGGCCUCGGACGAAAGAACCAUCAAACGCUUUAUCGCGCAAAAGAUCUCCAAUUUGAAGAAAGUGUGCAGAAAUUAAUCUGCAUUUAAUUUAAUUUUACUCAUCUUACUUGGUUUUUUUUAACGAGAAUCUCGAUGGUUUUUUAACUUGUUUUUGUUAUA